GGGCCGCCUGAGGGGAAGAAGGGAGUCCUGAGGCUUCUCUGCCUCAGGCUCCUGCACCUCGGCUCAGCCCAGCCCAGGGGGCCGCGCUAGCCCCAAGCCAGCCGGUGUUGCAGUGAAAAGCCGCAGGUGCUCGGGCGGCGGUGCCGAUGGAGCUGAGGCGGGAAGAUGGAGGCCUGUGGAUCCCCUCAUGGCAGCGCGCGGUGGCUGAGUGACUGAGCAAAGCAGUUGAGGAAAAGGAUAGAAACCCCUUGGACUUCUCAUUUUGGAGGGAGGAGGACAUCUCGGAGCAAAUCAGGAAAAUACUGGUUGUAAUAGGGAUAUCUUGCAGGGAUAACUGCAAGAAGCAAUUGUAAGUUCGAGGACAGAAGGAAAGGAGCACCUGGCAUCUUGCCUGGAUGUUCACAGCAGUAACUGGCCAUGUUCUGUUUGGAAGGGAGGACAGGUCAGAAAAAUGCUGGAAGCAAGAAAGCCCUUUUGGAUCCCUCUCUACAAGAAGAUGGCACCAGUCACCGCCGCCGAGCAAACAGGGAAAGGAGCGCUGGAGGAGCGCCGCGGCGGCCGCAGCGCGCCCGCCCGCCCCGGCUCCCCCCCCCCCCCCCCCCCCCCCCCCCCCCCCCCCCCCCCCCCCCCCCCCCCCCCCCCCCCCCCCCCCCCCCCCCCCCCCC
rnacentral:lncRNA from 12 species